CGGCGAUUUUGUGCCCCGUGGUUUUUAUUUUGUCCCGGCCGAGCCUCCCCUCCGUUUCUCGAGUUUCUCGUGAACGUCGGUCGGGCGGUCGGCACGAUCGAUAGGGGAGGAGUUGGAGUGAUGGGGGAGAGACCGCUAAAUUUUUCUAAAACGUCGUAGCCGCUCUUUGUCCGCGGUUAAAAACGUAGAGAGAGAGAGAAAAAAAUUAAAUCGUCUUGUCGUAUUAUAAUAAUAAUACCUGCUCUUUAUCCGUUAUUUGCCGGACGGGACGAAAAAAUAACGGCCCGAUCGAUUUACGUCUUUAUUUGUCGCCGUUUAUUCCGCGUAAAAAACCAGCAAUCCGAUGAUAGAGAACGGGAAGCUGACGGACGGAAAAAAAAAAAAAAAAAAACGCUCGUCUCGAAACAAAAACCAACGCGGCCGGUACGACACCGCACUUAUUGUGCGCCUAACUUUCGAAAUCAUCCAUCCCGCAGACCCUCGCGUAACUACAAACCGUCGUGUUCGUGACCUCUUCUCGGUGAGUUGCACGGUCAGUCGCGCGUGGUGCAUGAUAAUACGUUAGACCACCUAUCCAGCAGUAGCACGGCGGGCUGAAAUUAUAAUAAAAAAAAAAAAAAAUUAGAAAAAAUCGAAUCGCAAUAAAAAUCGUAUAAAAUCCACAUUAUAUAACACAAAGAAAAUUAUAUUUUCAAACUAUUGAUUACAAAUAACUACUUGGCAGCAUAUUAUUUAAUAUCAAUUGUUGUGCAUCGUCAAUUAUGUGAUUCCGAUGUAGAAUGAUCGUAUCAGAGAAUAAGAGGAAUUUUCUGUUUCGGAAUCACUUUGCCAAACGAUUGUUGAGAC